GCCAGGUGCACCAGCACACACCUGUAAUCCCAGUGGCUCUGGAGGCUGAGGCAGGAGGAUUGCAGGUUCAAAGCCAGCCUCCGAACUUAGCAAAACCCUGUCUCAA
rnacentral:sRNA from 1 species